UUAGGUGACUAUGGUGGUGGUGUUCACCUCUUCCCAUUCCGAACAGAGAAGUUAAGCCCACCCGCGCUGAUGGUACUGCCCUAACCGGUGGAAGAGUAAGUCGUUGCCUAUU
rnacentral:rRNA from 1 species